rnacentral:ncRNA from 1 species
GAGUUUGAUUCUUGCUUAUUUAUUUAUUUUUAAUUUGCUUUAUAUGUGAGUUUUUGCAUGAUUUUGAUUAUUUAUUUUAAAUGUUAAUAAUUUGUUUUAUUUUGCAGUAAGGAAUUUUAUUAAUUAAUGAGAAUUUGAUUUAGUAAUUUUAAUUUAUUAUUGGUAAAAUUUGUGCCAGCAUCCGCGGUUAUACAAUAAAUAUAAAUAAAUAUAUUUGGUUAAAAUAGUUAAAUUUUUAUUUGAGGUUAUUAUGUUGUUUUUAGGUGAAAUUUUAAUUUUUAUUAUAACUUUAUUGUUUUGAGGCUAUGAAAUCUUUGAUUUUAAACUAGGAUUAGAUACCCUAUUAUUUUUGAUGUAAAGUAUAUUUUAACCUAGGUAGUAUUAGUUAGGAUCUUGAAACUUAAAGAAUUUGGCGGUAUUUUAGUCUAUUUAGAGGAAUUUGUUCCUUAAUCGAUAAUCCGCGUUGUACCUUACCAAAUUUUGUGUAUGUAUAUCGCCGUUAUAAUGAGAAUUUUUUUAGAAUUAAUAAUUUUCUUGAUUUGUUUUUAAAGUUUAUUUCAGGUCAAGGUGCAGUUUAUGAUUUGGUGGAAAUGAAUUACAUUAUUAUAUUAUUUGAAUUAUUUAUUGAAAUUUAAGUAUGAAAUUGGAUUUAAUUGUAAUUUUUUAAAGAUUAUAAAAGUGAUUUUAGCUCUAAAAUAUGUACAUAUCGCCCGUCGCUCUCAUUAUAUUUUAAUUUGAGAUAAGUCGUAACAUAGUGGUUGUAUCGGAAGAUGUGGCUAGAAUGAAUUAGUAUA